rnacentral:rRNA from 1 species
AGGACGAACGCUGGCGGCGUGCUUAACACAUGCAAGUCGAGCGGAAAGGCCACUUCGGUGGUACUCGAGCGGCGAACGGGUGAGUAACACGUGAGUAAUCUGCCCUCCACUUUGGGAUAGCCACCGGAAACGGUGAUUAAUACCGGAUAUGACCUGAUACCGCAUGGUGUUGGGUGGAAAGUUUUUCGGUGGGGGAUGUGCUCGCGGCCUAUCAGUUUGAUGGUGGGGUAAUGGCCUACCAUGGCUUCGACGGGUAGCCGGCCUGAGAGGGUGACCGGCCACACUGGGACUGAGACACGGCCCAGACUCCUACGGGAGGCAGCAGGUGGGGAAUAUUGGACAAGUGGGCGGAAGCCUGAUCCAGCAACGCCGCGUGAGGGAUGACGGCCUUCGGUUGUAACCGUUCGUUCGGUGGGGACGAAGCGAAAGUGACGGUACCCACGUAAAGAACGCACCGGCCAACGUACGUGCCAGCAGCCGC